rnacentral:misc_RNA from 1 species
UCACCUCCUUUCCAAGGAGCAUCUCCGCCUCGGAUCAAAACGAGGUCGUGAACGACGCCAUCGAGGCGUCAUCAAGAAUGCACCUAGGUCGAACGGAAUCUGCCUGGCAUCAAUGCCGGCGAGCGUUUGUCCUCUACCGUCUUUCCUGUUCAGUUUUCAGGGCAUCAGCCCUACGUUUCUUUGACAAUUUUUUAUGGGUAAAGAAAUAGAUGCACGACGUGGGGGGGGGGGACACGGACCUGCAUAUCGGAUGAGAUCAAGGCACUUUAUGGUCAAGUUACUAAGGGUUGACGGUGGUAUACCUAGGCACACAGAGA